GGGGGUGUUCCGGAUUCGACCUUGUGUCGUAGUGUAGGGCUGCAUGUCGGAGAUGAUGGAGGCUCCGUAUCAAACCAUCUCAAAAAUUAAUUGGCGAAGAACAAUUCGCUCUGGCUGCUUAGUUCAGUCACGUUUCACCCCGGACACCUGCUACGGGACUGAGGCGACGAUUAGCAGGCAUAGUUGCCGGGUCGGCUUUCGACCGGUGGCCGUACUCUAGAAAGCCUGGAAACGGGAGAGCCUGCAUUUUAGCGCUCCCGCAACGACAACAAAUAAAAUGCUAAGCGUGUAGAUGCCUUAUGUGAAAGCACGAGGGACGCGGGUUCGACUCCCGCCACCUCCACCA
rnacentral:tmRNA from 2 species